AUGGCCGGCGGCAAGCGCCGCUACAAGCGCAACCCCACCGCCGGCGGGCCCCGUCACAGCGCCGGAGCCGGGCGCCGGCGCUCGCUCCCAGAACUCCCUUCCUUCGUCUCCCCCACCUCCGUCGCCGCCGCGUUUGGCCCUUCCUCCUCGGGCGGCCGGGGGCGCGGCCGAGGCGGCCGGCGCGGCGCCGCGGCGGAACCCGCCAACGCCGUCCCCUUCAGCUACACCGCCGCCCUUCGCCCGUGCCCCGCCUCCGCCGGCGGGGCGACGCAGGCGCUGGAGGUGGCCAUAGACACCGGCUCCUGCGCCGAUCCGGCCGCCUCCGCGUCGAUGUACUCGUACGAAGUGGUCGGAGGGAUCGGGCUUGGAUUCCACGGCGACGAGGAGGCGGAGGGCCAGGAGGAGGCCGGUGAGGGCGCGCCGCAUCUAGGAUUGGGAUUCCACGAUCGUAUCGAAGAAGAGAUGGACGCUGAGGUUGAGGAAUUGGAGGAGGUCUCCUUCGUGACACCGAGGCAGGCUAAAAGCAAAGGGAGGCAGAAUGGUGGAUUUAUCUCCAUUGGGGGAGUCAGGAUCUACAGCGAGGAUACCUCAUCACCGGAAUCAGAGGGGAUGGGCGACUCCGACGAGGAAUCAGAUUCCGAUUAUGAGGUGAGAGAUCGCAACGCUGAUGUUGAUAGCAGUGAGGAAGAUAGUGAUGAUGAUAAGGUGGAUCCGGAGUCUGAUGAGGACGGUUCAGGGUCAGACUCCGAGGAGGGUCUCAGCAUUGGGGACUCAUCGGUUGAUGAUGAGAUUGUUGCCGAUUACAUGGAGGGGAUUGGUGGCAGCGAGGAGCUAUUGAGCAGUAGGUGGUUGAAUGGCAUGAAAUUGGUUGAUUCAGAUGAUGAUGAGAUGGAUACAGACGACGAUGAGGACGGGUUCCUAAAGAAGGGGAAGGAAAAGCUUGAGGGUUAUGCGCUAAUGCGUGCAUCUGAGCAGUAUGGGAUGAAGAUGCCCAACUCGGCUGAAAGGCGCAAAGGAAAGAGCACUAAUGUCAGGGAUUGUGACAGGGGCCUGGCUAGUAUACAAGUUAUGGGGCUGGAGGAUGUGAUGAUGGUAAAGGAUGCAAGGAUGGCAAAUCGGUCAAGUAAGGGUUCAAAGGCUUCAUCGUCCUCUCAGCUCUCCAGGUCCUGGCCCGAUGCGUCCAGGAAGAGCAAGAAAUAUCAGAGGGUCCCAGGUGAAAAAAAGAAGCACAAGAAGGAACACAUUGCAAAGAAACGCCGUCAACGGAUGCUAAGUAGAGGAGUUGACUUAGAGCAAAUCAAUACUAAACUGAGGAAGAUGGUUGUCAAUCAACUUGAUAUGUUGUGCUUUCAGCCUAUGCACUCUCGGGACUGUUCUCAGGUACAACGCCUCGCAUCUAUUUAUCAAUUGAAAAGUGGGUGUCAAGGUUCAGGCAAUAAAAGGUUUGUUACGGUGACAUUAACUGGACAGUCUUCCAUGCCAUCUGCAGAUGGUCAAGUUCGACUUGAUAAGCUUUUGGGGACUGAGCCUGAGGACUACAGUGUCAACUGGAACAGCUCCAAAGGUCCAGCAAGAGCGAAGGGCCUUUCAGCUCCAGGGAAAUUGGUGAGGCACAGCGAUUCUUGUGGGAAGAAAGUUCCAACGAAAAAGGUCUCAUUUGCGGAGCGUCCUGUAUCUUUUGUGUCUUCUGGCACUAUGGCGGAAACUGCUACCGAGGCAGUAGCAGUUGGCUCAACUGCUGGCGAUGUGUCAUGUGAGAAGGUUGUCGGAAGCGACUCCAAGCUGGGCACCUUUGAGACGCACACCAAGGGCUUUGGUUCCAAGAUGAUGGCGAAGAUGGGAUUCAUAGAGGGCACUGGCCUUGGCAAAGAUGGCCAAGGCAUAUUGCAGCCUGUCCAAGCAAUUCAGCGUCCCAAAUCUCUUGGGUUAGGUGUAGAAUUUGACAGCGAAUUGGAGGCGGCCAAAGCAAGGUCAGAGCCACCGGCCAAAGCAAGGCCAGAGCCACCGGCUAAUGCAACGCGAGAACUGAGUAGAACCAGGUCAGAACCGAGGCGCAACACACGGCCACUGGAGAUGUAUGACUGCGGCACUUUUGAGAGGCAUACAAAGGGUUUUGGAUCCAAAAUGAUGGUGAAGAUGGGGUUUGUUCCGGGUUCUGGCCUGGGGAAGGAUGGCCAGGGCAUUGUCAACCCCUUGACCGCGGUAAGACGACCGAAAUCACGGGGGCUCGGAGCUACCGACAAGUACUAA
rnacentral:rRNA from 1 species